GUCUACUGCCAUACUACCCUGAACAAGCCCAAUCCUGUCUGAUCUCAAAAGCUAAGCUGGGUCAGGCCUGGUUAUUACUUGGAUGGGAUACUACCUAGGAAGACCAGGUGCUGUAGGCA
ensembl:rRNA 5S_rRNA 5S ribosomal RNA